AGUGAACGCUGGCGGUAGGCCUAACACAUGCAAGUCGAACGGCAGCACAGUAAGAGCUUGCUCUUACGGGUGGCGAGUGGCGGACGGAUGAGGAAUACAUCGGAAUCUACUUUUUCGUGGGGGAUAACGUAGGGAAACUUACGCUAAUACCGCAUACGACCUACGGGUGAAAGCAGUGGAUCUUCGGACCUUGCGCGAUUGAAUGAGCCGAUGUCGGAUUAGCUAGUUGGCGGGGUAAAGGCCCACCAAGGCGACGAUCCGUAGCUGGUCUGAGAGGAGGAUCAGCGACACUGGAACUGAGACACGGUCCAGACACCUACGGGAGGCAGCAGUGGGGAAUAUUGGACAAUGGGCGCAAGCCUGAUCCAGCCAUACCGCGUGGGUGAAGAAGGCCUUCGGGUUGUAAAGCCCUUUUGUUGGGAAAGAAAAGCAGCAGGUUAAUACCCCGCUGUUCUGACGGUACCCAAAGAAUAAGCACCGGCUAACUUCGU
rnacentral:rRNA from 1 species